rnacentral:rRNA from 1 species
GAGGGGCAGCAUGGUCUUAGCUUGCUAAGACUGAUGGCGACCGGCGCACGGGUGCGUAACGCGUAUGCAACUUGCCUCACAGAGGGGGAUAACCCGUCGAAAGACGGACUAAUACCGCGUACACUUGGCUUGGGGCAUCCCAAGCCAAGGAAAUGAAUUUCGCUGUGAGAUAGGCAUGCGUCCCAUUAGCUAGUUGGUGAGGUAACGGCUCACCAAGGCAACGAUGGGUAGGGGAACUGAGAGGUUGAACCCCCACACUGGUACUGAGACACGGACCAGACUCCUACGGGAGGCAGCAGUGAGGAAUAUUGGUCAAUGGGCGAGAGCCUGAACCAGCCAAGUCGCGUGAAGGAUGACUGUCUUAUGGAUUGUAAACUUCUUUUGUAGGGGAAUAACGCCCGGCACGUGUGCUGGAUUGAAUGUACCCUACGAAUAAGCAUCGGCUAACUCCGUGCCAGCAGCCGCGGUAAUACGGAGGAUGCGAGCGUUAUCCGGAUUUAUUGGGUUUAAAGGGUGCGUAGGCGGCCUGUUAAGUCAGCGGUGAAAUCUAGGAGCUUAACUCCUAAAUUGCCAUUGAAACUGGCGGGCUUGAGUGUAGAUGAGGUAGGCGGAAUGCGUGGUGUAGCGGUGGAAUGCAUAGAUAUCACGCAGAACUCCGAUUGCGAAGGCAGCUUACUAAGGUACAACUGACGCUGAAGCACGAAAGCGUGGGUAUCAAACAGGAUUAGAUACCCUGGUAGUCCACGCAGUAAACGAUGAUAACUGGGCGUAUGCGAUAUACAGUAUGCUCCUAAGCGAAAGCGUUAAGUUAUCCACCUGGGGAGUACGCCGGCAACGGUGAAACUCAAAGGAAUUGACGGGGGCCCGCACAAGCGGAGGAACAUGUGGUUUAAUUC